rnacentral:rRNA from 1 species
UCAGGAUGAACGCUAGCUACAGGCUUAACACAUGCAAGUCGAGGGGCAGCAUGGUCUUAGCUUGCUAAGGCCGAUGGCGACCGGCGCACGGGUGAGUAACACGUAUCCAACCUGCCGUCUACUCUUGGACAGCCUUCUGAAAGGAAGAUUAAUACAAGAUGGCAUCAUGAGUCCGCAUGUUCACAUGAUUAAAGGUAUUCCGGUAGACGAUGGGGAUGCGUUCCAUUAGAUAGUAGGCGGGGUAACGGCCCACCUAGUCUUCGAUGGAUAGGGGUUCUGAGAGGAAGGUCCCCCACAUUGGAACUGAGACACGGUCCAAACUCCUACGGGAGGCAGCAGUGAGGAAUAUUGGUCAAUGGGCGAGAGCUUGAACCAGCCAAGUAGCGUGAAGGAUGACUGCCCUAUGGGUUGUAAACUUCUUUUAUAAAGGAAUAAAGUCGGGUAUGGAUACCCGUUUGCAUGUACUUUAUGAAUAAGGAUCGGCUAACUCCGUGCCAGCAGCCGCGGUAAUACGGAGGAUCCGAGCGUUAUCCGGAUUUAUUGGGUUUAAAGGGAGCGUAGAUGGAUGUUUAAGUCAGUUGUGAAAGUUUGCGGCUCAACCGUAAAAUUGCAGUUGAUACUGGAUAUCUUGAGUGCAGUUGAGGCAGGCGGAAUUCGUGGUGUAGCGGUGAAAUGCUUAGAUAUCACGAAGAACUCCGAUUGCGAAGGCAGCCUGCUAAGCUGCAACUGACAUUGAGGCUCGAAAGUGUGGGUAUCAAACAGGAUUAGAUACCCUGGUAGUCCACACGGUAAACGAUGAAUACUCGCUGUUUGCGAUAUACUGCAAGCGGCCAAGCGAAAGCGUUAAGUAUUCCACCUGGGGAGUACGCCGGCAACGGUGAAACUCAAAGGAAUUGACGGGGGCUCGCACAAGCGGAGGAACAUGUGGUUUAAUUUGAUGAUACGCGAGGAACCUUACCCGGGCUUAAAUUGCAGAUGAAUUACGGUGAAAGCCGUAAGUCGCAAGGCAUCUGUGAAGGUGCUGCAUGGUUGUCGUCAGCUCGUGCCGUGAGGUGUCGGCUUAAGUGCCAUAACGAGCGCAACCUUUGUUGUCAGUUACUAACAGGUUCCGCUGAGGACUCUGACAAGACUGCCAUCGUAAGAUGUGAGGAAGGUGGGGAUGACGUCAAAUCAGCACGGUCUCUUACGUCCGGGGCUACACACGUGUUACAAUGGGGGGUACAGAGGGCCGCUACCACGCGAGUGGAUGCCAAUCCCCAAAACCUCUCUCAGUUCGGACUGGAGUCUGCAACCCGACUCCACGAAGCUGGAUUCGCUAGUAAUCGCGCAUCAGCCUCGGCGCGGUGAAUACGUUCCCGGGCUUUGUACUCUCCGCCCGUCUAGCCUUGGGAGCCGGGGGUACUUGAAGUGCGUAACCGCGAGGAG